rnacentral:rRNA from 1 species
AUAGCGUAUAUUAAAGUUGUUGCAGUUAAAAAGCUCGUAGUUGGAUUUCUGGGAGGGUGCCAAUGUCCGCCGACGUGCGUGCGCAGCGGCGCCCUUCCAUCCUUCUGUUAACGCCUCUUGACAUUCGUUUGUUGAUGGCGGGCUCAGAUAUUUUACCUUGAGAAAAUUAGAGUGUUUCAGGCAGGCUAGGCCGGAAUACAUUAGCAUGGAAUAAUGGAAUAGGACUACGGUCUCUUUGUUGGUUUGAGGGACUGCAGUAAUGAUUAAUAGGGAUAGUUGGGGGCAUUAGUAUUUAAUUGUCAGAGGUGGAAUUCUCGGAUUUGUUAAAGACUAACUUAUG